rnacentral:rRNA from 1 species
GAUGAACGCUGGCGGUAUGCCUAAUACAUGCAAGUCGUGCGGAAAGGCCCUUCGGGGUACUCGAGCGGCGGACGGCAGAGUAACGCGUAGGAACGUACCCUAAAGUGAGGAAUAACUGCUCGAAAGAGUAGCUAAUGCCGCAUGUGGUCUUCGGACUAAAGCCUUCGGGCGCUUUGGGAACGGCCUGCGUUCGAUUAGCUAGUUGGUGAGGUAAAUGCUCACCAAGGCGACGAUCGAUAGCUGGUCUGAGAGGAUGAUCAGCCUGACUGGAACUGAGACACGGUCCAGACUCCUACGGGAGGCAGCAGUAGGGAAUUUUCCACAAUGGGCGAAAGCCUGAUGGAGCAAUACCGCGUGCAGGAUGAAGGCCUUCGGGUCGUAAACAGCUUUUAUGUGCGAAGAAUUUGACGGUAACACAUGAAUAAGGAUCGGCUAACUACGUGCCAGCCGCCGCGGUAA